UCUGUGGUGGCUCGGUUGGAUAGUGCAUAGGUCUCAUAGCCGUUGAGACAUCUUGAGCUCGAGAGUUCGAUUCUCUCCCACCUCA